GACGAACGCUGGCGGCGUGCUUAACACAUGCAAGUCGAACGGAAAGGCCCUGCUUUUGUGGGGUGCUCGAGUGGCGAACGGGUGAGUAACACGUGAGUAACCUGCCCUUGACUUUGGGAUAACUUCAGGAAACUGGGGCUAAUACCGGAUAGGAGCUCCUGCUGCAUGGUGGGGGUUGGAAAGUUUCGGCGGUUGGGGAUGGACUCGCGGCUUAUCAGCUUGUUGGUGGGGUAGUGGCUUACCAAGGCUUUGACGGGUAGCCGGCCUGAGAGGGUGACCGGCCACAUUGGGACUGAGAUACGGCCCAGACUCCUACGGGCGGCAGCAGUGGGGAAUAUUGCACAGUGGGCGGAAGCCUGAUGCAGCAACGCCGCGUGCGGGAUGGCGGCCUUCGGGUGGUAAACCGCUUUCGCCUGUGACGAAGCGUGAGUGACGGUAAUGGGUAAAGAAGCACCGGCUAACUACGU
rnacentral:rRNA from 1 species